rfam:Helianthus annuus linkage group 16, whole genome shotgun sequence.
GUGUCAUUCAGAGAUCCUCUGAACACUUCAUUGGGAUAAUGUUUCAUUGUAGAUUCCUACUGAAGUGUUUGGGGGAACUCCAAGUGCCAC